rnacentral:rRNA from 1 species
AUACAGAGGGUGCGAGCGUUAAUCGGAAUUACUGGGCGUAAAGCGCGCGUAGGCGGCUUAUUAAGUCAGAUGUGCAAUCCCCGGGCUCAACCUGGGAACUGCAUCUGAUACUGGUAAGCUAGAGUUUUGGAGAGGGAAGUAGAAUUUCAGGUGUAGCGGUGAAAUGCAUAGAGAUCUGAAGGAAUACCAGUGGCGAAGGCGACUUCCUGGCCAAAAACUGACGCUGAGGUGCGAAAGCGUGGGUAGCAAACGGGAUUAGAAACCCUAGUAGUCC